rnacentral:lncRNA from 1 species
ACCCCUUGUAAAAUUAAUGAAAAUGGUUAAAAAAAAGUUGGGUGGUCACAGUGAAAUGUCAUAUGAAAUUGGAUGGCCAUGGUAAUACUAAGUAUAAAGUUGGUGGCCAUGAUAAAAUAAAAUAAAAUUGGAUGAUCAUGGUGACACUAAAUAUAACUUUGGGUGGCCGUUGGUGAAUUUAACUUAAAUAAUAAUAAUAAUAAUAAUAAUAAUAAUAAUAAUAAUAAUCUUAUCAAAGUCAUGUUGAGCAAAUGAUUUUUGAAAGAAUAACCACCACAAAAUUUACUUACUACACCACAUUAUGAUCACACCACAAUUAAAAUAUAUUUUCAAUAAAUAUACCACAACAAGUUUACAAUUAUACUUCUAAUUCAAUAUAAAACUAUAGUAUUGUGGUGUACUCAUCAAUCUCAUGUUACUCCUCAUUUUUCCAUCAUUUUCAGCGAUUCUGAAUCUUUUUGCCCUCUUGCUCUUUGUAUUCCUCUCGAAAUAUUUAUUUUAUAUAGUGAGACUAAAAUAAUAUCUACUCCUCUAAAUGGUGUGCCUAACAAUAUUUAUCUCGUCCAAAAGUAACAAUUUAUUAAUCAAAGAAACCUUCAACAAAUCAAAAUAUAAAAUUGUAAAAUAUCUAAUAAGCCUUGGCGGGACACGUGGUCCAUUGUCCAUUUGUAAGCUUCUAUGGAGAAUAAGCUCUUGUGAGUUUCUUCUAUGAAGCUGAUUCAUAAUCAUAU